AGAGUGGCUCAGGAUUUGGAGGCUUUGAGCUGUGGGGAAGAUCACCACAGUGGAUUGCCUGUCUAGUGCCUGUCUCUUUAUUUAAUCGCAUGGGAUUUAGUUUGUCUCAGUGUCAGAUCCAGCUAGGAAACAGAGCUGUGAUUAUUGCCUCAUUGUGCUAUUCUCACCAUGGACCUGAAUUAUGAGGACACAGUUGCCUGGCGACCUGCUGAUGGGAAAUAUCUGCUAAAACAUUGCCACAAGAGUUUUUUUUUUUUUUCUCCUAGACCUUCUAGAACAUCUCCUACAACGCAUACAUGUGCUAAUACUGUAUACAGUUAUACAAGGACAAAAGCAUUAAGGCUGCUUUGCUUCUGCAUAUUACUACAUCUCUUGGGAAUCGUUCAGCUUUGGUUGUGUAUGGAUGAUUUAUUUUCCUCAGUAUGAUUAGAUGAUUCUUGCCUUUUUGAUGGAAGAGUUCUGGAACUUAUUGCAUUUGUGCACUCUGUUACCCAGUGCUAACACACACCAAGGAAAUAAACAAGGGUGAUGGGCUUCUGUUUGCUUUCACUGAACAUGAGAU